rnacentral:rRNA from 1 species
GAUGAACGCUGGCGGCGUGCCUAAUACAUGCAAGUCGAGCGAACAGACGAGGAGCUUUCUCCUCUGACGUUAGCGGCGGACGGGUGAGGAACACGUGGAUAGCCUACCUAUAAGACUGGGAUAACUUUGGGAAACCGGAGCUAAUGCCGGAUAAUAUAUUGAACCUCAUGGGUCAAUAGUGAAAGUCGGUUUUGCUUAGAGUUAUAGAUUGAUCCGCGCCGCAUUAGCUAGUUGGUAAGGUAACGGCUUAGCAAGGCAACGAUGCGUAGCCGACCUGAGAGGGUGGUCCGCCACACUGGCACUGAGACACGGCACAGACUCCUACGGGAGGCAGCAGUAGGGACUCUUCCGCAAUGGAGCAGAGCCUGACGGUGGACAACCGCGUGAGUGCUGAAGGUCUUCGGCUGGUAGAACUCUGUUAUUAGUAGAGAACAAAAGUGUAAGUACCUAUGAACGUCUUGACGGUACCUAGUCAGAAAGCCCCGGCUAACUCCGUG